GACGAACCGUGCGAACGUUGUUCGGAAUCACUGGGCUUAAAGGGCGCGUAGGCGGCUUGCCAAGUCUUGGGUGAAAGCGUUCGGCUCAACCGGACACGUGCCGAGGAUACUGGCGAGCUUGAGGGGGGUAGGGGCAUGCGGAACUUCCGGUGGAGCGGUGAAAUGCGUUGAUAUCGGAAGGAACGCCGGUGGCGAAAGCGGCGUGCUGGACCCCUUCUGACGCUGAGGCGCGAAAGCCAGGGGAGCAAACGGG
rnacentral:misc_RNA from 1 species